rnacentral:ncRNA from 1 species
UUAAUGGCGUUGAAGGGAACAAGUACCUUGAAGCGCUCUGUCCAGAGAAGUCCCGGUUGGUGCAAGGGGCCGCAGAGCAGCAGGGGAAAUACCUCCCGGAGCUGCAGGUCGAAUGCCUUUACAAGGCUAGUAGGCUGUGCCGCGUGCGAGCGUUACAAACGCAGGAGUGUCACUCUACUCUGGGGUGUGCACUCGUGAGGUCGUUUCUGUGAGGGAACGGCAAACAGAGGUGGUACCGCGAUUUUUCUCGCCCUCUGC